UUUUGGUGUUCUCAACAGUAGGUGUUGAACUGUAAAUAAUGUAAAGCAAGAAAUGUAAAUUAUAUUUUGGGUAAUGUAAGAAUGGUGUAAAUCAUGUAUUUUGGUUAAUGGAAGACGUGAUGUAAAUAAAUGUAAAUGUAGUAGACUACUUGUGUUUGAUUCAAAUGAAAUCAAAUGACUUGUAUAUUGGAUGCUUAGAUAGUUCGAU
rnacentral:lncRNA from 1 species